CCGGAGCCCGCGGGGGCGGCAGAGACCCGCCCCGGCCCGCAGGACACCCCCUCGGAACGCGCGGCCCCCGGCUAAGUCAUGUUUAACAGCCUCAGAAAUUAUCUUGUCUCCGCGUUCUUUCUUCUGCCGGCGAGCCAGUGUCAUUUGUGGAUUAUUAAAGAAACCUCUCCAUACCUGAUGCAUAAAGUUUUAGGCACUGGUGAUAGAGCAGUGAACAAAGCAGUUUCUGCCCUCAUGGAGCUUACAUCCUAAUGAGAGAGCCUGAUAACAAGCAAGUAGCUGAAAUACAACAUCAUAAUUUUUACUGGAAAAUAGCCACAAUGAAGGAACACCACAAUUUCACCAUGAAAACCAGCACAACCUUACACAGAUGACAAACAUUUCCCCUCAAAACUUGUUAAACUGUAUUUGGGCUGACCAAAUUAACCAGAGUUAUU
rnacentral:lncRNA from 1 species